rnacentral:rRNA from 1 species
GACGAACGCUGGCGGCGUGCUUAACACAUGCAAGUCGAACGGAAAGGCCCUGCUUUUGUGGGGUGCUCGAGUGGCGAACGGGUGAGUAACACGUGAGUAACCUGCCCUUGACUUUGGGGUAACUUCAGGAAACUGGGGCUAAUACCGGAUAGGAUCUCCUGCUGCAUGGUGGGGGUAGGAAAGUUUCGGUGGUUGGGGAUGGACUCGCGGCUUAUCAGCUUGUUGGUGGGGUUGUGGCUUACCAAGGCUUUGACGGGUAGCCGGCCUGAGAGGGUGACCGGCCACAUUGGGACUGAGAUACGGCCCAGACUCCUACGGGAGGCAGCAGUGGGGAAUAUUGCACAAUGGGCGGAAGCCUGAUGCAGCAACGCCGCGUGCGGGAUGACGGCCUUCGGGUUGUAAACCGCUUUCGCCUGUGACGAAGCGUGAGUGACGGUAAUGGGUAAAGAAGCACCGGCUAACUACGUG